UCGGGAAUUUUGGGCAAUGGGCGAAAGCCUGACCCAGCAACGCCGCGUGAGGGAUGAAGUAUUUCGGUAUGUAACCCUCGAAAGAAUGGGAAGAAUAAAUGACGGUACCAUUUAUAAGCUCCGGCUAACUACGUGCCAGCAGCCGCGGUAAUACGUAGGGAGCAAGCGUUGUUCGGAUUUACUGGGCGUAAAGGGCGCGUAGGCGGCGCGGUAAGUCACUUGUGAAAUCUCUGAGCUUAACUCAGAACGGCCAAGUGAUACUGCUGUGCUAGAUUGCGGAAGAGGCAACCGGAAUUCUUGGUGUAGCGGUGAAAUGCGUAGAUAUCAAGAGGAACACCUGAGGCGAAGGCGGGUUGCUGGGCCGACACUGACGCUGAUGCGCGAAAGCCAGGGGAGCAAACG
rnacentral:rRNA from 1 species